rnacentral:rRNA from 1 species
AUGAAACUCUUAGCUUGGAACUGCCGGGGACUAGGGAAUGAACCGGCAGUUCGAGCUUUGCUGGACGUCCAGCGAAGCGUACUUCCCUAUGUGUAGUUUUUGUCGGAGACUCACCUAGAUAGCUAUCCGGCUGAAUGCUUAAGACGUAGAUUAAAAAUGGAUCGGAAGAUGAUUUGUGCAAGUGAUGGUAGAAGGGGAGGUCUGAUCCUGUUUUGGCAGAACAAUAUAACAGUACAACGACUCAAUCUGGACCCCAUGUUCAUUGAUGUUCAAAUAACAUGUGAUGCAAAGACAUGGAGAUUAACUGGUAUGUAUGGAGAGUUUAAAUGGGAGCAUAAGCACCUGACCUGGGGGCGUAUGCGGCAGCUGUACCAAAACAACACACUUCCUUGGCUGUUGAUAGGGGAUCUAAAUGAGACCCAAUAUUUGCAUGAGAAGGUAGGAGGAAACCCAAGGCCGCAACAGUACAUGACAGCUUUCCAACAAGCAAUGGAAGAUUGUGAGCUACAGGACAUGGGGUAUAUAGGCGACAUAUUUACUUGGAGAAGGGGCCGUAUUCAAGAAAGACUGGACAGAGGGUUAGUGAAUGAUGAGUGGAGAAAUACCUUUCCUAAUGCUGCCAUAGAGCAUGGCAAUUUUAACCACUCAGACCACAGGCCUUUAGUGGUGGAUACAGAAUAUUAUCUGAGAUCGAUCCCUAACCAGGGAGGACCGAAGAGAUUUGAAGCCGGUGGCUUAGAGAGGAUCAAUUUUCAGAGUUGGUACGAACCUCAUGGGAUAUUGUGA